rnacentral:rRNA from 1 species
UACGGAGGGGGCUAGCGUUGUUCGGAAUUACUGGGCGUAAAGGGCUCGUAGGCGGCCAACUAAGUCAGACGUGAAAUCCCUCGGCUUAACCGGGGAACUGCGUCUGAUACUGGAUGGCUUGAAUCCGGGAGAGGGAUGCGGAAUUCCAGGUGUAGCGGUGAAAUGCGUAGAUAUCUGGAGGAACACCGGUGGCGAAGGCGGCAUCCUGGACCGGCAUUGACGCUGAGGAGCGAAAGCCAGGGGAGCAAACGGG